UACAGAGGGCGCGAGCGUUGUCCGGAAUCACUGGGCGUAAAGGGCGCGUAGGUGGCGGCAUAAGGCCGUGGUGAAAGUCUGGGGCUCAACCCCAGAUCGGCCAUGGCGACUGUGUCGCUUGGGUACUGUAGAGGCAGGUGGAAUUCAUGGUGUAGCAGUGAAAUGCGUAGAGAUCAUGAGGAAGACCAGUGGCGAAGGCGGGUCUCUGGACAGUUCCUGACACUGAGACACGAAGGCCAGGGGAGCAAACGGG
rnacentral:rRNA from 1 species